rnacentral:lncRNA from 1 species
GUAUUUCACAAGGAUAACAACUAAAGGAUUCAGAGAAUUUCUAUCAUUUUCUUACUCAGAGAAGUCACUGCCAACAUAGUCAUGAAAGGGAAUCUAUUCUGAACAACAACCAAAAUUUUAGUCUCAUAUCAUGGAGUGAAAAAUUGUAAGAACCAGAGCCAGCUCCUCUUAAUUUUGACUUCAUAUUUUGCUGUUUAAUGUAGAAUUUUGGAUAACCUCUGGAUUCAGUGCAAUGAAGAAUAAUCUGGUGUAGUGAAAUCUACAAGAACCGACUUGACUUGGAAAUAACUUACUGGCUUAUAGGGAGUCAUCCACAAUUUUAACUUUGGAGGUAAAUGAGGCAUGAUGUUAUUGUUUGUUCUAUUUGUUAUCCAGGGAUUUUGAUAGUAAAAAUGGAUGUUGAAUAAGAAUUUCUUUAUUAUGAAAGCUUUGGUAUUAGUAAUAUAAUUGACUGGGACUUGGAAUUUUAUGAAAGCAAAUACCCUUUCCUCUGUUCUUGUUUUGAAUAUGUGUAUUCAUUUAAUGCUUACUUAAGAAUGUGGGAUCUUGUUCACUAUUGCUCUUCAGGGUACUUUGAAGAAAAUGCCAUUUUAUGAAUCCAUCAAAGGUAUUAACAAAGCUAACAUCUUGGCUGUUUUAUGAAUACCUAUAUUUUAUGAAUAUACAAGGUUGUCAGAAAUUUAUUUUUUCCAUUUUAUUUUCGUAGAAAUUUCUGUAUUGAAAAGUGUAAGACUGCAAAGAUUAGAGAAACAUAUCAAGGGAAAAUGAUGUCCCAAUGAUUCAUAGAUAUUUUCUCUAGACAUUCAAGAGAUGGUAUGCUACACAGUUCCUGGAACAUAGCUAGAGCUCUGAUAUAUUAUUUUUGGUUGACAUGGUUGCCCUUCACAGUCAGAGGUGAAUGUAGGAUGUGAAAAGUAAAUAUAGUCUGAAAGGCUGUAGCACUUAAUAUUCUUUGUAUCACCUACUGUCAGGAUACCCUACUCCCCCUCCCCUGACCCAGCUUAUUUUCAAAAGGUCCAAAGUGUGAUGAAGCAUGGGGAGGGACUAGGAGUGUCUGAGCAUGGGAAAAGAGAAAAGAAAGAUGAGAUGUGAACUGGGAGCAAGGCUCAGAAUUGGAAGUGAAAGUAUAUUCUGCCAGUAAACUAUUUGGGAAAAGUGGUAUAAUCUAUGGGAUAUAUGUAGAUAAAGAUAUAGAUGUAGAUAUAUAGAUAUAUCAGAAUUGGGAUCUAGGGAUUUGGAUCCAAACUGCAAACAUCAUUGGCUUUCCCAAUAUCAGUUGUGUAUUCCCCCGCUCAUGGCUGGGAAGAGGGACCUGAGGGCAUCUAAUCAUUACUUCCUCGUGCUAGAGUAGCUGGAGCUCUGAGGGUAUAAAGCCAUGACUAUCUCCUAAUACUCUGUAUCCCUAAACUCUGCUCACUUUUGGGGUGGGGGUGUAGGGGGUCUCUGGUAGGAUGGAGGGGCCAUUUCUGCGAUAAGGUUAGCUUUUCUAAAAUUACUACAAAUCGCUAAUUUUAAUUAUCAUCAAAACAUAAUAAAGAACUCCUUUGGGGGAAAAAAAGACUUCCUUUGGGCAGAGUUUUUAGAAAACCAGAUUCUAAUGUCUGCCUCAUAACUAAUGGGAUAUGUGAAAUGUUGGAUGACAGCCUACGUGCAUCUCAACUGCCUCUUUUAGUAAGCAAAUCAAUCUCUACUGAUAUCCUACUGUUAAGAUUAAAUGAGACCAAAUAGAUACAAUGCUUUGAGAGAAUAAGGCACACAAUCUAUCUGAGCUCUACAACUCAUUUUAUGCUAAUCAUGGAAGGCUCCUCAGAGAAGGCACCCAUGUGUAAAUUCUGAAGCCUUCCCAUGAGAAAAGUCAGCCUUAAGGCUUGGUGCCUGUAUUUUUUGUGUGGUAGGUGCAGGGGAGGGAGGAGGAGUGUGGGAAAUGGUAACAAGACUAAGUGAAGUGAAAUAGUGGUACAGAUGACCAAGGAGUCUUCUUAUGAGAGUCUCUUGAACAUUACCUCAGAUUGUGUCUCUGUUGUUUUUUACAUUAAAAUAAAACAGAUCUUUAAGAGAGCUUUUCUUCCUUAUGACAUUGGUAGUUACAGCAAUGUGUCUUUGCACUUAUUUACUCACCAGCUCUUUGAGGAUAGAAGCCAAUUCUCAUAUAUUCUACCUGUAUAACAUACAGCACAGAGCUUUGUGGUGUUUUUUGUCUACCUGUUGAUUUUCCAGCUGUUAUCUGGAGAUGAACGCCUGUUUGCAGAGUAUUAAUGAUAGGCAUGACAGCAGAUAAUAAAAAGAGAUUGUAUAAAUGGUUCAGAGGAUUAUGGCUUCCAUUUCCAAAAAGUGCUUUGAAAGGCCAAAAAAAUUAUUAGUAACUGCCUAAAAACUCAUCAUUUAUAUCUGGACAUCAACCAAGUUUCUGAGAAUUAAAAAAAAAAAUUCACAAAGUGUAUACUUCUUAACAAUGGAGCUUACAUUUCGUCAUCCACAGGACACCUAAUGCCAGUUUUUAAAAAUGUUUUUGAAAUACAGCCUGCAAUGUAAUUAUAGAUGUAAAAUUGUAUCUCCUAGUUCAAAGAGAACUGUUGAAAGAACAGCAGUUGCUUUGUUUUUCUAGAAUGUCAGCAUCAUUAUUUUUAUGGGAUGCUUUGGAGAAACACUAAUUUGUGAAAGAAAAGCAUCCCAGAAGGCAAAUUUGACAGUUUAAAUUCUCAUGUUUACAGUGUUCUGAGGAUCAUAAUUAAUUGAAAGAUAAUGAAAGGCUGAAGACAGCUUUGUUUAACUUCUUCACAGAGCCAGUGAAGUGAUUCUGAAUUAAAUUUUCAAAAUCUGAAAGAAGAAAGUAUACUAUACUUUAGAUAGAAAAACACAGGGUAAUUAAGAGAUUAUGAAAGGCUGAUGAGUGUCCCCAUAGCAUUCUAGUAUAGUUUCAACUGGUUCUAGACUGUAAGAAUAAGCAAAAUCCCUUCCUUCUCACACUGAUAAACACAAACUUACAAAUGGCAUUCCAUUUCUGAACAGACUUAAAUAGUAUGCUAGUUUAUUAUUGUCUGGAAAGAGAAGCCAAUGAAAAACUGCCAAUCUGGCCCUAGUAAAGAAAUCAAAACCUCAUCUUGUCUUAAAGUCAGUCAUUUUUGGUAGGUUUAAUAACUAAACCAAUCUGUGGGCACAUCUUAAGGAAUAGAAUCUGUUCUUUACACUGUGGAGUAGUUUUAAGAACAAAAUUAAAAUUAAGGAACAACUGUGAACUUUAGAACCUAGAUUCCUUAAUACUUCCAGGAUAAUUUAUCCUUGAGGGGUUGGGGGCUGGUGAGUAUUUGGUAUUUGGGGGGUUUCUCUCUUCUUUUGCUAUUAUUGGCCCUUGCUUCUUACCCCAUUGAUGCCAGU